GUGUGGGAUUAUAGAGUUGUGGGGAGGUGGGAUUAGGUGGGAUUAUGGGGAUAUUGGGGCCAGGGAUGUGGUGGUGUGGGAUUAUAGAGACAUGGGGAGGUGGGAUUAGGUAGGAUUAUGGGCAUAUUGGGGCACAGGGAUGUGGUGAUGCGGGAUUAUAGAGGCAUGGGGAGGUGGGAUUAGGUGGGAUUAUGGGGAUAUUGGGGCCAGGGAUGUGGUGAUGCGGGAUUAUAGAGGCAUGGGGAGGUGGGAUUAGGUGGGAUUAUGGGGAUAUUGGGGCCAGGGAUGUGGUGGUGUGGGAUUAUAGAGACAUGGGGAGGUGGGAUUAGGCGGGAUUAUGGGCAUAUUGGGGCACAGGGAUGUGGUGGUGUGAGAUUAUAGCGGUAUGGGGAGGUGGGAUUAGGUGGGAUUAUGGGGAUAUUGGGGCCAGGGAUGUGGUGUGCGGGAUUAUAGAGGCGUGGGGAGGUGGGAUUAUGGGGGGAUGGGAUUAUGGACCAUAAGGGGAUGAAGGCAACGUGGGGCUGCAGGAUUAGGUGGGAUUAUGGGAUUCAGGAUGGGAUUAUGACCCUGUCCCCCCCCCAGAUUACCACGGGACCCCCCCCCCAGGCCGGGAGCGCUCCAACAGCCGCUGUGACGCCACCCCCGAGACCGAGCACCUCCCGUAGAGGAGCCUCCACCCGGAUUAUGGGGAGCUAAAACCGGAUUAUGGGGCUCCUGCUCUGGAUUAUGGGCACCUCAAGCCAGAUUAUGGGCACCCCAAACCGGAUUAAGGGCUCACACCCCGGAUUAUGGGCACCCCAACCCAGAUUGUGGGCCUCCAUCGUGGAUUAUGGGCACCCCAACCCGGAUUAUGGGCAUCUCAACCCGGUUUAUGGGCUCACACCCCAGAUUAUGGGCUCACACCCCAGAUUAUGGGCUCCCCAACCUGGAUUAUGGCCACCUCAACCCAGAUUAUGGCUGCUUCAACCCAGAUUGUGGGAUCUUGCACCUGGAUUAUGCGGAUACUCCUGGAUUAUGCAUCCAUCUUCUGGAUAAUGGGGACUCUGCCUGGAUUAUGGGGAUUUGCACCCGGAUUACGGGCACCCCAAAGCUGGAUUCUGAAGAGGCCCCUGGAUUAUGGGGCCUCACUUUGAGUUAUGGACACCACAAAGCCGGAUUAUGGGAUCCUCCUGGAUUAUGAACUCCCCCCGCUUGGAGUGUGGGGCUCCAAUCCCAGAUUAUGGGUACGCCAUUCCCAGAUUAUGGGGUCCUCUUGAUUUAUGAGACUCCAAACGCAGAUUAUGGGGACUCCCCAUGGGAUUAUGGUCACCCCAUCCUUGGAUUUUGGCGUUCAGCCCCGGAUUAGGAUCUUCCCCGGUUUAUGGAACACUAAUUUUGGGUUAUAGCACACUAAUUCCAGAUUACGAGACCCUGAAUCCCAGAUUAUGGGGAUCCCUUGGAGAGUGGAACCCUAAUCUGAGAUUACGGGCUCCUAAUCUGAGACUAUAGGACUCUAAUCCCACAUUUUGGGACUCCCAUCCCAGGUUAUGGAACUGCAAUCCCAUAUUAUGGGUCUUUAACGUGGGAUUAGAGGAUUGCAAUCCCAGAUUAUGGGAUUUCCCCGGGUUAUGGGUCUCUAAUCCCGGAUUCUGGGACUCCCAUUUGGGAUUAUAGCACUGUAAUCUUGGAUUAUAGGAUCUACCCCCAUAUUAUGGGUCUUUAAUGUGGGAUUAGAGGAUUGCGAUUCCAGAUUAUGGAGUUUUCUCAGAUGAUGGGCCUAUAAUAUCAGAUUACGGGGCUCAAUCCCAUGCUAUGUGAUCUUAAUCCUGUAUUACAGGCCUCUAAUCCCAGAUAAAGGGGUUGUAAUCCCACACUACGGGUUCCCAGAUUAUGGACCUCUAAUCCCAGAUAAUGGGACUGUGAUCCCAGAUUGUGGAUCUCUAAUCCCAGAUUAUAGGUUCUAAUACUAGAUUAGGGGCCAUAAUCCCACACAAUGGGGUUGUAAUCCCAAAUUAUGGGGCUGUAAUCCCAUUCUAUGGGUUCUAAUCCCAGAUUAUGGGGCUAUAAUCGCAUGUUAUGGAGUUGUAAUCCCAUGUUAUGGGUUCUAAUCUCAGAUUAUGAGGCUAUAAUCUCAUAUUAUGGGGUUGUAAUCCCAGGUUAUGUGUCUGUAAUCCCAGAGUAUGGUUUGUAAUCCCAGAUUAUGGGCUGUAAUCCCAUAUUAUGGAGCUGUAAUCCCAGAUUAUGGACUGUAAUCCCAUAUUAUGGAGCUGUAAUCCCAGAUUAUGGACUGUAAUCCCGGAUUAUGGGAUCUCCCCACAAAACCACAGCACCGUUCAGUUCCAGUUUCUUUAUUUUUCACCCCAAAAAUUGUUCCCCCCCCCCCCC